UGGGCCACCAGGAAUCUCCGC
rnacentral:misc_RNA from 1 species